rnacentral:rRNA from 1 species
AGAUCAGAAUGUUGGUCGUGCCUUGGUACGUACUGGCAUUAUUGGUCUCUCCCUUCUGACGAACCAUGAUGUCAUUAACUUGGUGUCAUGGGAAAUCAGGACUGUUACUUUGAAAAAAUUAGAGUGUUUAAAGCAGGCUCACGCUUGAAUACAUUAGCAUGGAAUAAUGAAAUAGGACGUUCGAUCCUAUUUUUGUUGGUUUCUAGGAUUAAACGUA